UGGAGCAGAGCACUCGCUGGUCGGAAGGUGCAGGUCGCAGGUGCGGGAUUCUGUUUGAGGACCUGUGCAAGCUUUCCUAACAGGCUGGGGGCAGGGAGUGAAGCUGAAUGCAGAAAUCCUGUCCUCAGCUUUAAGGGCUCCCUCCUCCUACCCCCUCUUCCCCCCAGAGGUGGAACCCCUGAGCAGACAGGCACUCCAUGAAUGCUCCUUUGCAGAAUUGGAUGGAACGACACUCUAUGCCAAGCAUCACUCCGGGAUGAUACAAGGAGAGGGGACUAUCAGGUGGGCCCAGUGGAUGGACAUUACUGGAAGACAGAUUUGUGAAGGGUUGAAGGGGGUGCGGAGUGGACAUCAUUACCAUAAUAUGUUUCAUACAAGGAAGAGCAGCCAAAACCCGGGUCAGGCUCGCCUCAAACUCAGGUUCACUGCUUUAGAUCCAGGGCGUGACCCAACUAGCAUCACUGGCAUCACAGCUUGUGAGAAAUGCUGAAUGUCAGGCCUCAGCCCAGACCUACUGAAACAGACUGCAUUUUAACAAGACUCCCAGGUGAUUCCUGCACACAUUAAAGUUCAUCUUUGCCAAAUAGAGUACGGUAUGUGUGUCCUCAUUUGUAUAGAGUUUACAUGCUGAGGUUUCCUUGCUGCACUUAAGGAGAGUUAAGCAGUUGAUGCUAUAAUGAUGGUAUUCAGGCUUAGAGAGGGAUAUCGUAGCUCCACAGCCUUCAG
rnacentral:lncRNA from 1 species